CUUUUUCUUGUUUGGAAUUAUUACAGCAAUCACAUGUCAGACUUCAGAGAUUUUUUUUUUUUUUUUUACAAAAAAAAUCUAUGAGAAAGAAAAUUCAUCUUUUCUGAGCAGAAG